UCUCCUGUGUCGAAGACAUUUCGUUCCUCUCUGGCUUUCUUCAAACCACACGCAACCACCUGAGGCCUGAGCCACGCAUCUCCUCUUCGUCCUCGGCUCUCUGCCACCGGCCACGCCGCACUGCCGCUGAACGCCAUUGAUGGCUGAGCCUGUUGGAUCACCACCACGGUCGAAAUUGUCCCAAAAUGUAGAAUAUAGAGUUGUAAUUUUAUUUUUUCCACUUGAACCAUUGUUGUAAAUAAAAUGUAUUUUUAACUGUUGAAUAAAAUAACCACCAUAGCGUUAUGAUUUUUAAAUCAACAAGUAAAUUGAUAUUUUAGUUA